CGUGGAGUCAUUCUUACUAAAGAUAACCUUAUUAAGAGGAAUUGGCAUCGAAGUCCGCAAUGUGUCUUUUGUCAUCAUGGUGAGACAAUAAAAUAUUUAUUGUUGCAAUGCAAAUUGGCUCAUUCUAUAUGGUCAGUCAUCCAGAUAGCUUCUAGCUUGUAUCCUCCUUGUAGUAUUGCUAAUGUAUUUGGCAGUUGGUUACAUGAGAUAGAUCACAGGUUUAGAACUCUUCUUAGGGUGGGAGCGCUUGUCAUUAUUUGGUCGCUUUGGCUAUAUAGAAAUGAUAAGGUUUUUAGCGAUAAAAGUACUUCUCUGAUGCAGGUUAUCUAUAGAUGUACUGGGACUCUUCGUUCAUGGUUAUCUCUAUAA
rnacentral:rRNA from 1 species